rnacentral:rRNA from 1 species
AGGGCGAGCCUGAUCCAGCCAUGCCGCGUGUGUGAAGAAGGCUUUCGGGUUGUAAAGCACUUUCAGUGAGGAAGAACGCCUUGGGGCUAAUACCCCCGAGGGAAGACAUCACUCACAGAAGAAGCACCGGCUAACUCCGUGCCAGCAGCCGCGGUAAUACGGAGGGUGCAAGCGUUAAUCGGAAUUACUGGGCGUAAAGCGCGCGUAGGCGGCGUGAUAAGCCGGUUGUGAAAGCCCCGGGCUCAACCUGGGAACGGCAUCCGGAACUGUCAGGCUAGAGUGCAGGAGAGGAAGGUAGAAUUCCCGGUGUAGCGGUGAAAUGCGUAAAGAUCGGGAGGAAUACCAGUGGCGAAGGCGGCCUUCUGGACUGACACUGACGCUGAGGUGCGAAAGCGUGGGUAGCAAACAGGAUUAGAUACCCUGGUAGUCCACGCCGUAAACGAUGUCGACUAGCCGUUGGGGUCCUAGAGACCUUUGUGGCGCAGUUAACGCGAUAAGUCGACCGCCUGGGGAGUACGGCCGCAAGGUUAAAACUCAAAUGAAUUGACGGGGGCCCGCACAAGCGGUGGAGCAUGUGGUUUAAUUCGAUGCAACGCGAAGAACCUUACCUACCCUUGACAUCGUGCGAACUUGGUAGAGAUACCUUGGUGCCUUCGGGAACGCACAGACAGGUGCUGCAUGGCUGUCGUCAGCUCGUGUUGUGAAAUGUUGGGUUAAGUCCCGUAACGAGCGCAACCCUUGUCCCUAUUUGCCAGCGAUUCGGUCGGGAACUCUAGGGAGACUGCCGGUGACAAACCGGAGGAAGGUGGGACGACGUCAAGUCAUCAUGGCCCUUA